GCCAGCUCCUGCUCCUGCAGAUUGCCAGUCGAGAUGCGGCAAAGCAGAGGCAAACAGCUAGGCACAAAGCAAUAGAGUUGUAAACUUUGUUUUUUUUUGUUUUUUGUUUUUUUUUUCCUGCUGCCGCCUAUACUGCCUCUCUCCCAUAGGAAGAACACUACCUCUGGGUAGCCAGGAGCUGAGAUGCAGUCUGAAUGUUCACGGUGGCUUCUGACGUGGCAGCGUGAAUUCUCAGCUGGGCAGGGAGGAACCGGAGGUAUGUUUGACAACUGUUUGAGAAGAAGGUCCCAAAUCCCUCUCUUAAAACCUUGGGAUUGUGCUUGAGACUCAGCCCCGAUGUGUUCCGUGGUAAUUCACUCACCUGGUUUACCCACACUGUAUGCUCCCCCUACCUGCCCCUACCUUGUCAUAAGUAUAAAAGACACUUGUAGAAGCCCCCAGCUACACUCUGGUCGAUCUGACGCUUACAAACACUGUUCUGCACCACAACUGGAAGAAGCACUUGGAGGUUUCCCCAAGAAACUAGUUGGUAUGUAGUUUUAUUUGUGGGUAACUCAACUUGUACUAUUACAACACAGGGAAGAGAAAUCUAGACAGCCUAUUUGAUAGCUGAGGCCUACAGUCUAUAUAGUUUUUGAAGGUCACAAAAAUACUAAACUGUGAACAUCCCAUGUUCUAUUCCCAUUUGUCCUAAUGAAUUAAAUUAAUUACUGCCUUCUCUCUUUCUUUCUACUGGAGAAUCCAAAAAGCAGACUUGGUUUUACACUUGAUGUAGCCCGUAGACCAGCAGUCGGAUGAAUUGGAGAGACAAUGGCUAUCGCCAGCACACAGAAGGGGAAUUGAACGGGCCAGUGUUUUGAGCUCUGUACUGAAUAUAUUUUGCACUAAACAGAUGAGCUUGGAAGACAGAAGUUAAGGAACUAAUACUCAAUGGACGGAUAGUCAAUUCUUCAUAAAAUACAACUUCAAGUAAUUUCCCCGGUUGAGUUUUCAAAAGACAAUUGAAGUGAUAUAGGAGAAGAAGACUUAGGCGAUGCAGGGAAGUGAUAUGCUAAGACUAUGCGAGUGUCUCACAUGCACUAAGGUGUGCCUGUGUUCAGUUGAAUGGAAGACGGCCCAGCUACCACAAUGUCUGAUAUGAUGGAGUCUGGAGCCAGACAACCUGGGUCUGAAUUCUGACCCAGUUGCUUCUUAUCUUUAUGGCUGGACCACUUGUUGAAAGUUGGUGUUGGGAGAGAUUAACAUCUUUCUUGUAAGGAUAGGCUAGUGGUCACGGGAAUGGCUUAGGUGGGUGGUGGUAAAGCAAAGUGGUGACUUUGGCCCUGCCACCUCCUCUGCAGAUAUUGUGAGGUCCUCUCCUGAAGCCAGGCACAGGCUGGCAUUCUGCUCUCGGACUUCCAGAACCUUGGGGCAAAUCAGCAUCAUUUCUUCAUACAUUACUCAAUUCAGGUCGUCUGCCGCAGCCGUAGUGAGGACGCUCUUGGCUUCUUCAGACCUUACAGGAAGAGUAACAGUGUCUUCCUCAUAGGGAAGAAAUAAACUCCCACUAAGUAAAUAGUUGGUGAAACA
ensembl:lncRNA